rnacentral:rRNA from 1 species
GACAGAGGGGGCAAGCGUUGCUCGGAAUCACUGGGCGUAAAGGGCGCGUAGGCGGGAUGGCAAGUCGGUCGUGAAAUCUCUCGGCUCAACCGAGAAACGUCGGCCGAUACUGCCGUUCUUGAGGGAUGCAGAGGAGACUGGAAUUUACGGUGUAGCGGUGAAAUGCGUAGAUAUCGUAAGGAAGACCAGUGGCGAAGGCGGGUCUCUGGACAGUUCCUGACACUGAGACACGAAGGCCAGGGGAGCAAACGGG